rnacentral:misc_RNA from 1 species
AAGUCGUAACAAGGUUUCCGUAGGUGAACCUGCGGAAGGAUCAUUAGAAUGAGAGCCGGACCAUGUCGUGGGCGAAAGCUCGCACGUGCCAGUAAGCGCCCGUAAACCUCCACCCCUUGAUGUAUUAUUCUCUGUUCGUUUGGCAGGCCGCGACCCUCUGGGGGAGCGCUGGCUUCGGCUGGAGAGUGCCUGCCAGAGGACCAAACUCUGUAAGUUUAAUGCCCGAUCUGAGUACUACGAAAAAUAGUUAAAA